CAACUUGCACUGCAGGGUCUUGGAGAAGAUAGUGUUAGUUGAAGGCUACCAAACCUGCCAUACACAGACAACUUCAGCCUUAGAGAGAGAGAGAUUACUAUUGGUUAAUGAUUUCACUGUCAACUGAAUGGUAGGAGAUAUUUAGUAUGAAAUGAAAAUAGACAUGAUUUUAUAAUGCAAUAUGGUAUGUACAAAAGCAUAUAUGUUUAUAUAUGAAAAACAUAUAAUAUAUAUAUUGACUAUGUAUACACGCACAUGCACACACAUAAAUAAACACACUGACACACAUAUACAUACAAUCUUAUAUGUAUGCAUACAUAAAUGUAAAAGAAAAGAGGAAGAUUUGAAACUCUUAGUGUCAUUAAAAGCAGAGAUUUAAACAAAAUUGUAUUUCUCCUUGGAGAGGUUUGUGUCAUCACCCUUACGACUUAUUUCGUUCUAACCAAGAAUUUCUUUAGAAGAACACUUUUUGAACAUAAUCUCAUCCAUUAAAAGCAAUCUGUUUCAAGACUUAUUCUGUUUUUUGGGGGGCUUUUUUUAUUACUUUUUGAAUGGAUACGGGAUCAGUUGUGUUUAAAAACUGCACUGUCAGUUUUGAAUU